rnacentral:rRNA from 1 species
AACGACGCUGGCGGCAGGCCUAACACAUGCAAGUCGAACGCCGUAGCAAUACGGAGUGGCAGACGGGUGAGUAACACGUGGGAACGUACCUUUCGGUUCGGAAUAACUCAGGGAAACUUGAGCUAAUACCGGAUACGUGCGAGAGCAGAAAGAUUUAUCGCCGAAAGAUCGGCCCGCGUCCGAUUAGCUAGUUGGUGAGGUAAUGGCUCACCAAGGCGACGAUCGGUAGCUGGUCUGAGAGGAUGAUCAGCCACACUGGGACUGAGACACGGCCCAGACUCCUACGGGAGGCAGCAGUGGGGAAUAUUGGACAAUGGGCGAAAGCCUGAUCCAGCCAUGCCGCGUGAGUGAUGACGGCCUUAGGGUUGUAAAGCUCUUUCGCCAGGGACGAUAAUGACGGUACCUGGAUAAGAAGCCCCGGCUAACUUCGUG